rnacentral:rRNA from 1 species
AUUGAACGCUGGCGGCAUGCCUUACACAUGCAAGUCGAACGGCAGCACGGGAGCAAUCCUGGUGGCGAGUGGCGAACGGGUGAGUAAAGUAUCGGAACGUGCCCAGUCGUGGGGGAUAACGUAGCGAAAGUUACGCUAAUACCGCAUACGAUCUAUGGACGAAAGCGGGGGAUCGCAAGACCUCGCGCGAUUGGAGCGGCCGAUAUCAGAUUAGGUAGUUGGUGGGGUAAAGGCUCACCUAGCCGACGAUCUGUAGCUGGUCUGAGAGGACGACCAGCCACACUGGGACUGAGACACGGCCCAGACUCCUGCGGGAGGCAGCAGUGGGGAAUUUUGGACAAUGGGCGAAAGCCUGAUCCAGCCAUGCCGCGUGCAGGAUGAAGGCCUUCGGGUUGUAAACUGCUUUUGUACGGAACGAAAAGGUUUGGCCUAAUAAGCUGAGCUCAUGACGGUACCGUAAGAAUAAGCACCGGCUAACUACGUGCCAGCCGCCGCGGUAA